rnacentral:rRNA from 1 species
CAGUCGCCGCGGGAAUACGGAGGGUGCAAGCGUUAAUCGGAAUUACUGGGCGUAAAGCGUGCGCAGGCGGUUAUAUAAGACAGAUGUGAAAUCCCCGGGCUCAACCUGGGAACUGCAUUUGUGACUGUAUAGCUAGAGUACGGCAGAGGGGGAUGGAAUUCCGCGUGUAGCAGUGAAAUGCGUAGAUAUGCGGAGGAACACCGAUGGCGAAGGCAAUCCCCUGGGCCUGUACUGACGCUCAUGCACGAAAGCGUGGGGAGCAAACAGGAUUAGAUACCCCUGUAGUCCCUGUCUCUUAUAC